GCCAGGCAUGGUGGUGCGUGCCUGUAAUCCAAGCUACCUGGGAGGCUGAGGUAGGAGAAUCACUUGAGCCCAGGAGGCAUAGGCUGCAGUGAGCCAUGAUUUCACCACUGUACUCCAGACUGGGCAACAGAGCAAGAUCCUAUCUCAA
rnacentral:sRNA from 1 species